rnacentral:misc_RNA from 1 species
GAAAAAAAUACACUCUGCAACGUUUUCACCACAAAAAAAUAAAUAAUACAACAGUUUACUGAAGGAGGACUAAAUCAAUAUCCUCAGCAUAUUGCUUUGACAAUGUCUGAUAGCAAGGAUAAAUGAAACACGGUAUUUUUUUUGUUUUUCACCCAAAUUCUUCAAGUUCUCAGUCAGUUGAAACUUGAAUAAUCUGCUUUCCAACGUUUCGCCCAUGAUAAAUACCAACCAAAGCUGAUGCAGCAUUUUCUAAACCCUCAGCAAUGUCUUCUACAAAAAGCAGUUUUUUCUCUCUUAUAAGCUGAAUAGCAAACUCGAGGUACUCUGGAACCUUGUGCCGGAAGUCAAACUCAGAAAAACCUUCCAUUCG